rnacentral:rRNA from 1 species
AACGAACGCUGGCGGCAGGCUUAACACAUGCAAGUCGAGCGCCCCGCAAGGGGAGCGGCAGACGGGUGAGUAACGCGUGGGAACGUACCCUUUGCUACGGAAUAGCUCCGGGAAACUGGAAUUAAUACCGUAUGUGCCCUACGGGGGAAAGAUUUAUCGGCAAAGGAUCGGCCCGCGUUGGAUUAGCUAGUUGGUGGGGUAAUGGCCUACCAAGGCGACGAUCCAUAGCUGGUCUGAGAGGGUGAUCAGCCACAUUGGGACUGAGACACGGCCCAAACUCCUACGGGAGGCAGCAGUGGGGAAUAUUGGACAAUGGGCGCAAGCCUGAUCCAGUCAUGCCGCGUGAGUGAUGAAGGCCUUAGGGUUGUAAAGCUCUUUCACCGGAGAAGAUAAUGACGGUAUCCGGAGAAGAAGCCCCGGCUAACUUCGUGCCAGCAGCCGCAGUAACAC